rnacentral:rRNA from 1 species
UACGUAGGGUGCGAACGUUGUCCGGAAUUAUUGGGCGUAAAGAGCUUGUAGGCGGUUUGUCGCGUCUGCUGUGAAAAUCCGGGGCUCAACUCCGGACUUGCAGUGGGUACGGGCAGGCUAGAGUGUGGUAGGGGAGACGUGGAAUUCCUGGUGUAGCGGUGAAAUGCGCAGAUAUCAGGAGGAACACCGAUGGCGAAGGCAGGUCUCUGGGCCACUACUGACGCUGAGAAGCGAAAGCAUGGGGAGCGAACAGG